UCCCAGUUCGGAUCGCAGGCUGCAACCCGCCUGCGUGAAGUUGGAAUCGCUAGUAAUCGCGGAUCAGCAUGCCGCGGUGAAUACGUUCCCGGGCCUUGUACACACCGCCCGUCACACCAUGAGAGUCGGGAACACCCGAAGUCCGUAGCCUAACCGCAAGGGGGCGCGGCCGAAGGUGGGUUCGAUAAUUGGGGUGAAGUCGUAACAAGGUACC
rnacentral:rRNA from 1 species